UCGGUGUCAAUCACAGAGACACGCCUCCUUUCCGGUAGUGCCGCUUCCCGUUCGGCUUCUUCCCGCUUCAUUUCGAAGUUUGCCGUUGAACCGGGAGAUGAUACCGUCUCGAGCCGCGGAGUGGCUUGCUCAGGGUUAACGGGCUUGCUGCAGUGUGCGGCGAGGCUGAGGUUGAGGUGAUUGACGGGACCCUGUGAGUGUGAGAAACCGGGGCAGUGUUCCGAUGAGGCUACUUCCAUACAGCAAGUAAUCUUCCAUAGUUCCUGCAACUGACACAUUUUGCCUCCUUUCUUGAUGGUGGCGAAGGCAGCACCACGAUGAUUGGUAGGGGUAUCUUCUUUGUCCCAGAUUUUCAGGAACGGUUGAUGGAGAUGACAGCGCACAAUUAAUCUGGCCUUACAAGAACCUUGCACAAAUACUUUGACACCCAGGAGCAUUUGGAUCUGCGCCAAAGUUCAUUUGCCAAAAAUUAUUUACAUUCUGCUGUCUUGUUCUAACGUGGAAGCAGUCCAACUUUCUGUAGAAGAGGCAAGGAUGCCCUGGUGAAUUCAUUGGUGAAUACAUUGGUGAAAUCGAGCAAAGGCUAUAGCAACGGAUGAAUGGGCACUACACAACAAUCAACACUUCAGCGUUCCAGGACAUUCGACUUUCGACCUUCAGGUGACCAUCCUCCAGGGCGGACUUCGGGGCAGGUGAAAAUUGAUUUGAGGAGUUUUAACUACAGUAUGUAACUUUGAAAAUCUGCAUACAAACCAUACCAUGAAUAACUCCAGCGCAAGCUGUGGGAGCCCAGGCACCGGAAGUACAGCGGAGGCUGCCAUUGAUGCAUUUAAGGAGAUUUGGACUAAACUGAAAGAAUGUCAUGACAACGAAGUACAAGGUAAAUGAUCAUUGUUUAUUACCUUUUAAAUUGCACGUAAA